UUACACAAAGAGGUAAUUAACCAGCCUGGCCAAAACAGGAGCAGGUUAUGGCCACAGCUGCUCCAUAUCCUCGAUACUUUGGUGCAGCUGCCAGCUCACAAGUUUACCCUGCACAUCAGCCAGUGAAAAUGUGUUUGCCGUGGUGGUUGUUGGGAGGAAAAGGGUUGCUAAAAAUGACACAGAGAGGUUGGUGAGUACUGCAAUACCACAGGAAGAAACCCAAAUGCAUAGAGCCACCUCUGUGAACAGGUGCUUGCUUUGGAGAAAAUCCUUGAAAUUGCAUUAGCAAAGGAGCAGAACAGAAGGUAAAAUGUAUCACUGUGGGUAUCCACAGCCGCAGUGCCCUAAUGAGCUAUUGCAGCUAAUGAACGAAGCUGUGUUUGGUGUUGCAGUGCCAAAAAAGCUGCAGCCCUGUGAACAUGUGUGCAGAACCUCCUGGAGGGGUUUGGGGUUGUUGCCUUCAGACAGCAUCGCUGGCAAGGUUGGGGCUGGCCUUGGCAAGCAGCUGCCACCACAGGGCAUGCUGGUGUCCCUGUCCUGUUUGGGAAGCAGGGAUCUCACCCCGAGUUUCCAAACUGCCCAUUCAGGGCAGACGUUUGCCAUUCAGGUGCAUGUGAAACCUCAGCUUUUUGCAAAUGGAGGUUUCAUGCAGAGGCAGAGCCUUGCUGGUGGUUAUCAGCUCAGCAGAGACCGUUCCUGUUCUUAUUCCUGGAGCAAAGAGGCUGGAAGAGAGUGAAAAAGUUAUCAGAGCUCCGGGCUUUACAAAGCACAAUGAGUUAGCGUCAUCCAAGAAGGAGCCCUUCCUCUGAAGCAAUCUACAUAUUCGCUAGAAGUGAUGUGGGGACAAAAUUCCUGCUUGUGACAUUAAUGCUUUUUCUGAUAUGCCCUUCAACACUACUGCCCAUUGACACUAGAGCUGGAAAAAAUUGUUUUGCACAAAGAGAGAGGCAAGAAGUGGAUCUCUAGUUAUGAAUUCUCUCAAAGAGCAGAAGCAAACCACCCAGGGUUGUUUUUAAGUAUCAAACAAUGGAAAACAGCACCCAGCCUCAGACAACGUGCUUCUGUUCCUGGUACUAAAAUCAUUAAGGUAAACUCAUCGUGUCUUUCCUUUGUGAGAAGACUGGAACAACAUCAACAACAAAAUACAUUUCAUAGGAUGCUUGAAGUUUUUGGCUUUUUCCAGAGAAUUCUUUUGGUGCUGCCUCUCAGACCCUUGAACUGCAGCGUUUGAAAGAGCAAGCAGCAGGCUGCCGUGCAAGCAGCGCUGUGCUCUGGUCUCACUAUGGAGAACAAGAAAUCUCCUCUGAUCCUAGGACAGGAGGUUGAGGCUCUCACAGGAGAAGCAGCUUGGCUGGUGCAGCUUCGUGAGAUGAAAACUGAGUGAUCGCUGGCUGUAAAAACAGGGGGUAGGUAGCAGGAAGAAGAGCUUAGUUAACCUGUGCUGGCUUCUAUAUCUGUAAGCCUGCCCAGUGCUUUCCCAUUGCAUAGGGUGAUCUAAUGAAAGAUAUUACAUCUCCCUGCAGAUUUUGCCUUUCUUAUACUCUUAGACAACAGUAGCUGCGGCAGCUCUAUGCUUGGCACUGAAAUGCUUCAGUCUGGCUGAGAACAAAUUUAGUUUGGGCACGAAGAGGUCUCCAAGUACGAGAGCUACGGGGAUUUGGAAAGAUCUUGCCAUAAGUAUAAUGUAGAUGAGGCACCUGAAGUAGCCCUAAAUUGGCAUCUGAUUAGUAUCUGAAGGGUUGCAUGACAUGGAGCACGAUGGCCGAGUUGUGCUGGCUCGAGAGAUCCUCUGCAGCUCUACGGGACCGCGAGCUGAAGCGAAGAGACGGUGUGUAACAGCAGUGAGGUGGGAAAAAUCUGCGUGAGGAACAUCAGGAGAUCUGCUAUCCAAUGGUUUCUAGUUAAUUAUUCAUAGUAAUCCAAGUACUGCUUACUGUAUCUUGUACUGCUUUACAGUGUUCUCCUCUGUGUAUUGAAUGUCUGAUGUACUGAGGAACUGUGUGCCUUGGAGUUGUGUCGGAACAAUGAACGUAUUCAUCGGCUUCCCUGUAAAGCAGCUGUAAGAUCUUGCUGAGGAGGGCUUCUGCAGAGAGCUGAGCUGGGGGAUGAAGGGGAAUGUAAGAGAAUUAGAAAUGAGAUUGGGCCAUGCAGGCCAUGGCAUGGGGUUGGCUGUUUUGUUCUCCCGCUUUGCGUGCUUUGGACUUAGAAAAAGCAUUUCAAAAAGUCAGUGCCCAUACCUAGGGUAAGGUUUUGGCUCCCGCUUAAGCGUUGUGUGAAGGAGCCAAGGGCAUGAAGGGAGCACUGUGCUCAGCGCUUCCUUGGAUCUGCCAGGAAGAAAAGCUGUCCGGCAUGGUAGCCCAGAGGAAUGCAGUGCAGACGAGGGCUGUGCCCUUCGUAGCUCCCUGAUGCCUGCAGGGAGAGGGGGACUGGCUGCAGGCGUUUUGUGUAGUUACAGUACAUGGGAAGUGUGGUGUUAUCAGUUCUGUCAGUCUCUUAAUAGGGCUGGACAGGGACUGGCACGAUGCAGGGCAGUUCAGCAUGAGAGGAUUGAUCUGAGUUGCCAAAUUUUUCCCCAGGAUAAGCAACCAGGGGACAACAGAAGGUUUCUGGAACUUAACCUCUGCCAUCGACAUCACUGAAAGUACCAGGAAAACCCCUCAACCUUCGCCUGCACUGCAGUGAGAUUUGUCUUAAAGAAAAUACUCCGGAGUCUCGAUAUAUACGGUUCACUCUGAUGCAAAAUACUUUAUGCAAGUACAUAUAAAACCACAGAGUUACAUUCUUCCUUGAAAUCUCAUCUAUAGAGGGAGGCUGCAAUGGAGGGGCUGAUGAAAUGGGAGCUAACAAAGGAUGAAGACAUCACUACCUGAGCCUCCCUGGAGGAGGAUGUGCUUGGAGCACCAAGCAAACAAAACCCUUCCCAUGUACUGUAUGGUCCUGAACUCCGAACUUGGGCUGCUCUUUCUGGUAGCUUGAACGUUCACCCCUUUUAAUGGGAUUUUUACCCCUGAAGCACCAGGAAUUGCAUAGCAAUACUCGUUUGAGCUGCUGCUUACUGCUAGUAGUUAGGAAGCCACUGCAGACAACUGGAUGCACACAGGAUAACGUUCUUCACUGUCCUCAGUUAUCAUCCUUCCCAUGGUGUAAAUGCAUCUGAAGGGUGUGAUUUCCAUUUAGAGUACAUUGUGGAACCAGGUCAAACAUGAGAUUUUUUUUUUUUUUUACCUGCCCAGUAACCUGACAGAUCAUAUAGUUUGAUUCCUGUGAAAUUAUCUGAGUAGAUGCAGUGCUCUUCAAAAGCAGAGCAUUAGGAAUUAUUUAGACAAAGAAGCAGAUAGGUACACUAAAACACAGGCUCGGGUAAGCAACUAUUCUUAUCACUUACAGGGAAAAUUAAAUUAAUGGGGAAAGAGUUACUUAUUUGACUCCGAAUGUGGGAAUUAUUACUAAUUGCACGAGUAAUUCCUUGGUAAUGAUGCUGUAAUGAUUCUUUCUAUUACAAGUGGUAAUGCUGUCAUUACUACAUUACUCAAACUCAAAUCCGUGGGGAAGCUCUGUAGGGUGAGCAGUGAUUGAAGGUUCCACAUUAAAAUAAUUACCCUCAAUCUGAAAUUUCGAAUGUACAUGAUGGAUAUCUAAUGUUCACUGGAUUUCUUAAGGCUCCUCUUCUGCAAUAUUUCUCUUAUCUGCACUGGGCUCUGGUUAUUUUGUUCUUUUUAGGCUAGUUAAUUUUUCAAGACGUGUUUAAGGAUGGUAUUCAGAAAAUGAAGUGUUUUAGCGUUGUUAGAAUGGUGACAACCGAUAAAUGAGCAGCUUAUAUCUUAUCUAUAGUGUUGUGUAGGGAAAAAUGUAGCCUUCCUUAUCCAGGGUUUUUCUGUUCCUGACGCCUUUUUGAGAUAGGAUUUCAGCGUCUUGGCUGAAAUGCGCAGUGGCAAUGUGAGAAGCACGACGCAGAUAAGUGUCACAAACGCUAAUCCAGGACUCAUUUUGAUUCUGAAACCCCUGAUUAGGGAGUGAACGUGAGAGCUAUGGAGUUGGGCUUCCACACAGGCUUCCCCUCUGCUUUUGUGCCUGUCUCAGUAACCCAGCGGCACCUUCAGAAAUUCCUAAAUAAGGUAGGACAAGCCCUUUUGCUGGGAAGUAGUAUUGUAUUAAUUCUCACAGAGGUGAGGAACAUUCUCAAUCCAGUAUUUUAACAAGCAUCUUCUUUAUUUCUUUUAAGAGUCAGUUCUUUCUCAGCCAGAAUGAGGAACAUGGUCGCCCUGUACAGAUAUGCCUUGGUGUAGUAGAGGCCGGAGAAUGUCACUGAAACGGUGAGAAAAUAAGGUGCUUCCCACCCCAGAAAUGCAAAAAAAAAUAAAAAAUUCUCUGCGGUGUUUCUGGUAGCAAGUGGGAGCUGAGCUGUUGCUGUGCCCUGCCCUUGGGUGCCUUUUAGUGGAAGGCCGUGCUGACAUAGAUGCUAAAUGCUCAUGGUCAAGGACUGCAGGAAAAAUUCUGAAGGAGGGGCUUAUUCUGGCUUUUCUGUACCAAAUGGUGGGAAAGGAAUCCCCACUGACUAUUUUGGUUGACCUAGCUGGAUAGAAAUUAGGUUGCCCUAGACAAACACAACUCGCUUCAACCUGGAGGUGAAGUGUGGGGGGAGUCGGACUGCAUUUGGCUCUGGAAGCACUUACAGAGCUUCUGAGCUCUGUUCUUCAUGAGGUCCUAAACAGGGACUGCUUGCUGGGACCACCGAGGGGGACUCGAGAGCUAAGUGAGGGUUUCUCCCCAGCACCGAACCUCAGUGACAGUCCUACUGCUGUGCUGAGCUUGUGCCACCUAACAGAGCUCGGGGGCUGGCGGGGAUUCUCCUCCAGCAGCCAGUUUUAGUCUUUAUACUUCAUGCAUAUUCUGUGGAGAAGAGCGCAGAAUGUGAUUUCUCUUUUUAAGUAUAAUUUUGAACAUAUUAAUGAUAUUGGCAAUUACUCAGAGAAAAACACGUAAUCAAUGCUUGUUAGCCUGGGAGGUGAUAAAUUUUAAAAAUACAAUCUGUGCUCGCCUGGAAUUUAUUGCUUCAGGCAAGGUGAUAGCUUCAGCACUGCCAUUUCCAAAGAGUGCUGUGCAUUUAUUUUCUCAUUAGCAUCUACUUUCUAUUGUAUAUUUUGAACAAAGGUAACCUUGGAGUAGGAACACAUUCCUUGCUGUCAGGAAGAACUUGUGAUGCUGUUUCAAAGGUGCAUGCAUGAUUGAGCAGCAAUACAUCACAAGGAGCCCUGCAAAGAAGAUAAUUCUCCAUGGGCUGUAGAAGAAGAAAAGAAAUUCUUAUUUUUUUUUUUAUAUUUUAGCUUACUGUGCUCCGUGGGAGGGGGGAGGGUUAAUAUAUGUGUGUUGUGACAAGCUCUUUCAGAUGGCGAGGAGACUGUUUGUCAACUCAUAACUAUCAUUCUCCAAAAUAGCAGAGAUUCAGCAAUUUGCAUUUUAGCAGGUUUUGAUAAAAAUCUUUUAAAAUGAGGGAGAUUGUUGUCAGUGCAAUUCCUUUAAAAAGCAGAAAAAUCAGGGUGAUUGUAAUAGUUCAAGAGGAAUUUGAAACAGUGACUCCUAACUUUCCACUGAAGGAUCUACCGUGUAUUACAACACUCCUGGUAUUUCCCUGGCAUGUAAAACACGUGGUGAUCUGCCUGUCAGUGAAUGCAAGUGAGAGACCUGGAAAUGGCCUGGUUUGAAAACCUCUGCAUCCUGGUAGCACCUCAGAACAUCAGGGCCACCCCAGGAAGGUAGCCAGGGGUGGUCCUGCAGCUUGGACCAGAGGUAGGAAAAGAAGCAGCCUCGGAGGCACAGGAGAGACCCAGCAACUCCAGGCUCAGCUAGAACAGCUUAGAGGAAGAACACGGGAGGCAGAGCCAGGGAUCGACCAGGAUGCUAAAUAAUCCCAGAGCCCUCAUUUUGCAGAACACAAGCCAAGAUUUUUAAGCACUGCUUAACUCCAUCCCAGUCUGCUCCAGCAGAGCUGUGCCCCCACACCUGCGGGAGCACAGCCCCAGAGGAGUCUUUUCUGCUGCAAAGCCACCGCUAGCUGCAAAACCUCUCGUGUCUGCGAAGUUUGUCAGUGUAGGGCCAGCUGUCUGUGGUGCUGUCAGGAGUUUGACUUGACGUGCCAUCUCUGCAGCUGACGGUGCCAUCUGCACUCGCGCUCCGGGUGCACCCGCAGCGGCCUCCCGGAGAUCAGCCGAGCUGCCUUCAGAAAGCAAAGAGAAGCACGGAUGAUGAACCGUGGAAAGAAAACGGCGUUUCUUCAGCUCGCUGCUCGGGGUGGAUUUUAAUGGCAGAUUAAAAGGCUCUGUCCGUGCUGAGGCCGCUGUGUGCUGAGCGUUCGGCUGCGCACCAACAAGCUGCUCGGGCUCAUCCCGCUGCAAAGUGUGCCUGGGGAAUUCCAGAGAUAUUAAGGAGCUGCACCGGCCAGAGCAGCUGGAUCGGGGCUUUCAGCUCACAGUGUGUUGGCCCUUGCUCUUGUGCUUUUCUGAUGAUGGGAAUAGGACAGGGAGUCCUGGGGUUCCUCACUUUUGGGAUUUUUCUGUGAUAGCAAGCUUGUAUCCGCAGCUUUUCUAAGAAACAAGAGUCACAAGAACUUCAGUGGAAGCUGGGAUGUUCAGUCCUAUGCCAGGUCGAUCCUACAGGGUAAACCUCUAUCAGAAGAGUUACUGGUUUGAGGAUAAACGUCUGGCGUGAGGCGCUGUGUGAUCACAGAACAAAAAGAUGGCUCUUGGCUUGGAGAGCGCCAGCUCCGCACAGCUACAGCUGUUCUAGCUGAAAAGCUCAUAUUAAACGCGAUGUCUGUUUCUACUCAUAAAGCUUGAUGGUUUUUUGAGCAGCACAAACUUUAAUGUGUGUGAAAGUGCCUGAAGUUGGUAAUAAUGAUGAAAUGCAAAGAAUCGUCCAAAAUUUCUCUGUUUACUUCUAUAAUAAAAACAGCUUUAUUCAGUAGUUCGUGCAUGGGGUAUUCGCAAUUUUUAACUGACAACAGAAAUCCCCAUAUGGCUCAGAAAAGUGUUGGCAUGCACUUGUGUGAAGUUUGUUAAAACUGCCUGACAGACGUUGUUUUUUUAAAGAAUUCUUUUCCUUUCAAACAAGUUUCUUCUGUGGUUUAUAAGUGAAGUUUAAAAAGCUAAUUGGCCAAGGAUAUAAUUAGAUUUAUGCUUAUGUGGGAUAGUCUUGUAGAAGCAGUCUCUAGAAGGACUCUGGGCCUGAAACUGAAGCUUGUCUCAAUGUCAUGAUUAAAAAAAUAUAUAAAAAUAUUGCCAUCAGCUGAAAGUGACAAUUUCAGUUGUACCAGGAGGUUCUCAGUAUCUGAGCCAGAGCCCAGAGCUGAUCUGGUGCCCUUAUUUACCACUCACUUUGUCAAGUCUUCUGCCUCCCUCCUCUCCUGGGGGUGACACUGAUCACUAAAAUCAUCAGCUCGGCUCGUGGUGUUUGUAGGAUUAAGAAGGUUAAACCAACAUUUGGUCACUCGCUGAAGACAGAUGAUGUGUUGCUGUUAACAAGUGCAUUCAGCCAUCAUGUUCUUUCUGACUCUUGAAUCAGUCACAUCUUUAAGAGUAGCAGCAAAUGAUUUAUUUAGGAGAUAAGAAUCUUCACAAGCAGCCUAAUUUUUUUGAGGGAUUUUAAAUUCUCUCCUUCCCUUUACAGAAAAAAAAAAAAGUUUCAAAGGAACAUCUUGGAGUCUUUUUGCAUUUGUUUCUUUGUAAAGUCAAAGAUGAACAAAAGGUUGCUGAAGGCAUCCUGCAGAAGCAAAACCAGUCAAAUCAGGCCAAGUUGUUUUUUUUUUUUCUUGGCUUUCUGUUAGGUGUCUUAUGACAUUGGGCUUUCUACGUAGUAGCUUAUUUUUGCCAUUCAAUCAUGUGCAGCAUGCACAAACACGACUUCCCUGCGCAACCUUUCUGUGCUGAUUUAAGCCUCGCUUUAAAAACCCAGCCAGGGUAUUUCUUCCUUAGAGAACAAUAAAUACGAAACGGAGAGCAGGAACCUCGACUUCAUUUCUGCAGUGAUUUUGUUUCUGAGAAUCUCUGGGCCAUAGCUUGUGAGUGGAAAACGUACAAAUGUAGCACGUGGAGGUCCCCUGGGCUUCCAGUGCAUGCAACAGGACAGAAAGGUUCCCUUCCUCAAAGCUUAAUAGAAAUUAUUGCAGGGCUAUCCUGCAACGUUGGUAGUGGGAAUUGUGUGCUCUCUUCUUAUUCCUGAGUAGGACAAAGAUGAAGGAAAAUAAGGAGGGAAGAUGUGCUGCACAGGACGGCUGGCAGCCUGUGAAGCUGAGAUGUGAUCUGCAGCCGUGGUGAUGGUUUGGCUCAGCCCGCGUGCUUUCUGUGCCCAUCUCAAAAAGAAAUUGCCUUCAAAAAUGUAAGUGGCUUACCGCAUCCCUUUCAUUAGGGAGGCAGUGUAAUGUGAUGCAGAGAUGCUGAAUGUACAACGAAAUCUGCUCAGUGAUGGAGCUACACACGUCUGCAUGUUGUCCCUCCGGCUGGGACCCAGGGGCUGCCGUUCUGAAGGCCGUCCCUGUGUGCACGCUCUGUGGGGUUUUUCUGCAGCUCAACCACCUCCUGAGUUCUCCGGCCACUCACCUUUCCUCCAAGCUCAUUCACUGUCUGCAGAUUGCUGGGUCUCGAGCUUUUUUCCCUUUGUCUGGAUCGCUCCAUGGCUGAGGUAUGGCUGGGCUCUCCCAGGAAAGCACAAACGUUAUUUCGUUCAUCCUGGACUUGUAACGGCGUUUCCCACUUGUGCUAUAACUUGUUAGGCCUCCCCUUAUGCUCUACCUGCCUCGCUGUUAUCACACAUCAAAGAUACGGGCCGGGUGCUGCCUAAAUACAAGGCAAGCUCCAGCGUAUUUCUGUGUAAAGUGCCAGGGGCCAAGUUCUCCCCUCAGACUCCAUGCGAGGCUCCUCUUUGAUCUGACAGGAGCUGCGUGCACAGCUCCUGGGGGCACGGAUCAGCUUACGUGUGGUUUCCCUCCUCUCCCUCCCAAUUAUUACAGGAAGCAGCAGCUUUUACAGUGUAAAUGAGACAUUUGAAAGCAGCUGUUGUCAAAAGUUUCCUUCUAAUUCAAUAACUCACAUUAAGAAGCUGCCCCUCGUUAGGCACACGCUGUUAUUUAGCGCGUGGAGGUACCAACCAAGAGCAGGUAUCCUCUGUCCCUAAUAUUGAUACGUUUGGGUAAUCAGAGCUCAUCUCUACCCUGAAUAAUUUAUAGUUGGAGCUCGUCUGCAAAACUAGGAGGGAGCUUCUUGAACAGGAAUUUUCCACUUGUCAAAUCUGAGUGGUUUUGUGGAAAACGACCUGACUUCCCAGGCUCCUGACGGAGCUUCUGCAU